UAGGGAAUAUUGCACAAUGGGGGAAACCCUGAUGCAGCGACGCCGCGUGAAGGAAGAAGUAUCUCGGUAUGUAAACUUCUAUCAGCAGGGAAGACAAUGACGGUACCUGACUAAGAAGCCCCGGCUAACUACGUGCCAGCAGCCGCGGUAAUACGUAGGGGGCAAGCGUUAUCCGGAUUUACUGGGUGUAAAGGGAGCGUAGACGGCAGUGCAAGCCUGGAGUGAAAGGAUGGGGCCCAACCCCAUGACUGCUCUGGGAACUGUACGGCUAGAGUGCCGGAGGGGUAAGCGGAAUUCCUAGUGUAGCGGUGAAAUGCGUAGAUAUUAGGAGGAACACCAGUGGCGAAGGCGGCUUACUGGACGGUAACUGACGUUGAGGCUCGAAGGCGUGGGGAGCAAACAGGAUUAGAUACCC
rnacentral:rRNA from 1 species